GUGGGGAAUAUUGGGCAAUGGGGGAAACCCUGACCCAGCGACGCCGCGUGAGGGAAGACGGCCUUCGGGUUGUAAACCUCUUUUGUACGGGAAGAAGGAAGUGACGGUACUGUACGAAUAAGUCCCGGCUAACUACGUGCCAGCAGCCGCGGUAAUACGUAGGGGACGAGCGUUGUCCGGAAUUACUGGGCGUAAAGGGCGCGCAGGCUGUGCUGCAAGUCAGCUGUGAAAUGUCUGGGCUUAACCCGGGCAUGCGGUUGAGACGGCAGUGCUGGAGUGCUGUAGAGGCAAGUGGAAUUCCCAGUGUAGCGGUGAAAUGCGUAGAUAUUGGGAAGAACACCGGUGGCGAAGGCGACUUGCUGGGCAGCAACUGACGCUGAGGCGCGAAAGCCAGGGGAGCAAACGGGAUUAGAAACCCCAGUAGUCC
rnacentral:rRNA from 1 species